rnacentral:rRNA from 1 species
GAGCCAGCUUGCUUGGUGGAUCAGUGGCGAACGGGUGAGUAACACGUGAGCAACCUGCCCUGGACUCUGGGAUAAGCGCUGGAAACGGCGUCUAAUACUGGAUAUGAGACGUGAUCGCAUGGUCGUGUUUGGAAAGAUUUUUCGGUCUGGGAUGGGCUCGCGGCCUAUCAGCUUGUUGGUGAGGUAAUGGCUCACCAAGGCGUCGACGGGUAGCCGGCCUGAGAGGGUGACCGGCCACACUGGGACUGAGACACGGCCCAGACUCCUACGGGAGGCAGCAGUGGGGAAUAUUGCACAAUGGGCGGAAGCCUGAUGCAGCAACGCCGCGUGAGGGAUGACGGCCUUCGGGUUGUAAACCUCUUUUAGCAGGGAAGAAGCGAAAGUGACGGUACCUGCAGAAAAAGCGCCGGCUAACUACGUGCCAGCAGCCGCGGUAAUACGUAGGGCGCAAGCGUUAUCCGGAAUUAUUGGGCGUAAAGAGCUCGUAGGCGGUUUGUCGCGUCUGCUGUGAAAUCCCGAGGCUCAACCUCGGGCCUGCAGUGGGUACGGGCAGACUAGAGUGCGGUAGGGGAGAUUGGAAUUCCUGGUGUAGCGGUGGAAUGCGCAGAUAUCAGGAGGAACACCGAUGGCGAAGGCAGAUCUCUGGGCCGUAACUGACGCUGAGGAGCGAAAGGGUGGGGAGCAAACAGGCUUAGAUACCCUGGUAGUCCACCCCGUAAACGUUGGGAACUAGUUGUGGGGACCAUUCCACGGUUUCCGUGACGCAGCUAACGCAUUAAGUUCCCCGCCUGGGGAGUACGGCCGCAAGGCUAAAACUCAAAGGAAUUGACGGGGACCCGCACAAGCGGCGGAGCAUGCGGAUUAAUUCGAUGC